GAUAUUGAUAUUGAUAGUACUUGGCCGUCACAGCGGCACCAACAUGUUCAAUUGUUUUGCUACUGCAUACCCUCAAGAACAAAUACUUUGUUUGUUUUAUUUCCAAUGAAUAUUUGAUUCAUUUGAUUUUGAUACUUAUUGAUUUUAAAGUGUUACUUAGACUCUGAGAAUAUAUCAAGACAAUGGAAUGGUUAUGUAUGGUUGUCUGAAUUCUUUAGCUGUGGUGUUGUAUUGAUGGUAGUUUGAGGUUUAUUAAUUAAGGACAGACUAAGUGGGACAUCAGUGAAGGUCUAGAUGUAAAAUGUCCGGGACUCCCGCUGGUGUUAAAUUGUUCAAUGGCGUUAGUUCAAUCCAAUUUACUGUCUGUCUAAAUGGACUGUGAGGUCUGACUUUCUGCUCAAUGUUGUCUUAAAACCCAGCCACGAGUUUCGUACCUUGAACCACAGAACAGGUUUUUCUGACUUAUAACAAUGCCUGAUAUCAUGUUCUAGCCUUCGAGCUCUUAGUUAAUGGGUUAAACUAAAACAUCAAAUAUUAGCUGAUAUCAGUAAGAAGGGGUUUAUUUUCAAACAAACAGGUGAGAUCUGUGGGCAAACAUUUUCUUGAUAAUGUCAUAUCACUUUAGUACUUGACCGUCACAGCGGCACCAACAUGUUCAAUUGUUUUGCUACUGCAUAACCUCAGGAACAAAUACUUUGUUUUAUUUCUAAUGAAUAGUUUGAAAAGACAGAUUGUUGGGGAACUGGGCUGAGAAGUGGAGGAUUCCCGGUUUGAGCCCUAGUGUGGACAAAAACAUGGAACGUGUUGUGGUGGCGGGGAGGUGCCAGAACACCUUCAGCAUACUCUCGUGCAGGGUCUUCUGCCGGACUGCGGGUGGCGCAGGAGACUGGGCUUCCGCAGCAGCCUGUCUUUUUUCAAGCUCACUGUGGCUCUCGGGAUGCGUCGUCUUCAAAUGUUUGAAUAAAUUAAUUGUGUUGCUACUGUGCAAAACAUGUUUAUCACACACCUGGCACCUCGCAGUGGUUUUAUCGACUGGUGAAUAAUAACACCACACCACGCUUAGUUUUUUUGACUGCCAUCUCAGAUUUUCCUCCGGCUCUGCCUUUUGCUGACUGUGUCGGCUCGGCGGGCUGUGUUGCAUGUUGAUGCUCAUUCGCUGUCUCCUGUCACGUGACAUGGGCCAGCUCAAUACGCCGCCAGGUAUCGUGGUGUCCCGGCACAUAUUACCUAAUUUAAGUAACUAAUCUAAAACAGCGGAAAGUGAUGCAUACACCCCCAAUUUUGAUUUUUUAAAUUUUUAGUGAAUAUCGAUAUUCAUAAAAAAAAUCGAUGCCAAAUGAGUAGCUUGUGAGUAUCGAUAUAUCGAUACCACGGGAUCGAUCCGCCCAUCCUUAAUUUGCAGGUUUUGACCCUGCCUGUUCCUGUCGUGCUUCUGUACUAAUCUGCUCAUUCUUUUGGUCAACUUGUUCCUGCCUGUUUGUUUGCCAGAGUUCUCAUCUUCCUGGUAUGAGCUAGCCUUCGAGCACUUAGGUAAUGGGUUAAACUAAAACAUCAAACAUUAGCUGAUAUCAGUAAACUGUUUUAUAUGUACGUCCUGAACAUGUGAGGAUUAAUAGGGGCUUCAUUUGAACAGACGUAUGUUUUGUGUGGCUGGAUUUCUGCAACCGUCACCGACCUCCCUCAUCUGAGGACCAGGACUUAUGUGGAGAUUGCGACGAUAAUACGAGCCUCAUAAUCACAAAAUUAUGACGUUGAAUUUUUUUGAUUUUUGAAGAAACAUCUCUCUCUUAUGGAUGGUUGUUCUAUUCUAACAAUUAUGGCUUCUUCAUCUGUCUUCAAGAGAAUAAACUUUUAGGUUGCUGCCCCAGAACGACUGACUUUUGACUUUAAGGUGCAGGUGAACGGCAAAGUCCUGUCCCAAAGAGUUGCCUCUCUUGUGUUGGACAGGUCUUUGCGACAUGGGUCAGCAGCACAACAUUGUUGUGUUUCUGGGUAUUCUGUCUGUUUCUGGGUAUUUGGGUGGAUUGACCUCUCUUACAGUGUCACAGUGUUGUCAGGAAUUUCUUUUCGAGUUCUUUGUAGGUGUAAAUCGAUGUCUUAAAUAAAAAUGUAUUUUUGUAG
ensembl:lncRNA